GUGCUGGGCCAGGGUGUGGGUGAGGUGCUGGAACUUGAUAUAUGUAUCAUUAAGUUACAGUUCUGUUAGGAUUUGACUGCCUUUUUACAGGGACUUUCUAUUCUUACUGUGAAUAGUUAGUAUAGACUGUUCCUGGCUUAGAAUGGUUCUCUGCUCAGCAACUGGCGCGUAUUUAGCAUUUGAUUCAAACAUCUUGUAGCAGUAAAAAAAAACCAACAAAUUAAUGUAUCUAGCAGCUUUAUUCAGGAGCACAGUCUGUAUUAAUCGCCCGGGAUUAAUCGUAAAUAACUUCACGAUUUAUGUGUAAGUUUACUCUGCUAAUCGAUUUUCAAGUAUUUCAGAUUUAUAUUUAUUCGUGAGGCCCUCUUCAUUAUUUAUAUUCGCUCAAAGCACAGUCGACUGAAGAUUUAAUAAUUAUAGCGAAAAAUAUAGCGACAAAUGGGGGAAAUAAAAUUUUUAGUAUUAUUAUGAUUAAAUCUACAGACGACUGUGGUCAAAUUAACAGGUUCUCUGUUUCUUGAAAAUCUUAUCUGAUUCAGGAUCAAUUCAUCGGUUACACUCCCCUAUCACGAGUGAUUCUUUGUUUUGCUGACAUUCUAAAAAAGGUAUUGUGUAAGUGUUG
rnacentral:lncRNA from 1 species